rnacentral:rRNA from 1 species
CGUGUAGGCGGUUGGGUAAGUCAGAUGUGAAAGCCUUCUGCUUAACAGAAGAAGUGCAUUUGAAACUGCUCGGCUAGAGUACGGGAGAGGAGAGUGGAAUUCCCGGUGUAGAGGUGAAAUUCGUAGAUAUCGGGAGGAACACCAGUGGCGAAGGCGGCUCUCUGGUCCGAUACUGACGCUGAGACGCGAAAGCGUGGGGAGCAAACAGGAUUAGAUACCCUGGUAGUCCACGCCGUAAACGAUGGGCACUAGGUGUAGGAGGUAUUGACCCCUUCUGUGCCGAAGCUAACGCAUUAAGUGCCCCGCUGGGGAGUACGGCCGCAAGGCUAAA